rnacentral:rRNA from 1 species
CUGAACGCUGGCGGCGUGGCUAAGACAUGCAAGUCGAACGGGUGUAGCAAUACACCAGUGGCGGACGGGUGAGUAAUGUAUCGCUAAUGUACCCCGGAGCCUGGGAUAGCUUCCCGAAAGGGAAGGUAAUACCAGAUGAUAUAACCUGGUCGCAUGAUCGGGUUCUCAAAGCAGAAAUGCACUCUGGGUGCAGGCGAUAUCGUAUCAGCUUGUUGGUGAGGGUAACGGCUCACCAAGGCGACGACGCGUAGCUGGUCUGAGAGGACGGCCAGCCACAUUGGGACUGAGACACUGCCCAGACUCCUACGGGGGGCUGCAGUAACGAAUCUUCCACAAUGCACGAAAGUGUGAUGGAGCGACGCCGCGUGUGGGACCAAGCCCUUCGGGGUGUAAACCACUGUCAGGGGUUACCAAGUUCUGAGGAGCCCCAAAGGAAGGCACGGCUAACUCUGUGCCAGCAGCCGCGGUAAGACAGAGGUGCCGAGCGUUAAGCGGAAUCACUGGGCUUAAAGCGUGUGUAGGCGGGUCGUUAAGUGCCUUGUGAAAUCCCACGGCUCAACCGUGGAACUGCUGGGCAUACUGGCGAUCUUGAGCCAACUAGGGGCAACCGGAACAAACGGUGGAGCGGUGAAAUGCGUAGAUAUCGUUUGGAACGCCAAUGGUGAAAACAGGUUGCUGGGGUUGUGCUGACGCUGAGACACGAAAGCCAGGGGAGCGAACGGGAUUAGAUACCCCGGUAGUCCUGGCCGUAAACCGAUGUCCACUAGGGUAUGGGAUGCUCCGAUGAUUCGCCUGUCCGGCAGCGAAGCAAGUGUAAGUGGCCCGCCUGGGAAGUACGGUCGCAAGGCUAAACUCAAAGGAAUUGACGGGGGCUCACACAAGCGGUGGAGCAUGUGGCUUAAUUCGAAGCUAACGCGCAGAACCUUAUCCCUGGGCUUGACAUGCACGACUACGUGGCGGAUACGUCACGAUGCCGCAAGGUACAACGUGCACAGGUGCUGCAUGGCUGUCGUCAGCUCGUGUCGUGAGAUGUUGGGUUAAGUCCCGUAACGAGCGAAACCCCUGCCCCUUGUUGCCAGCACAUCAUGGUGGGCACUCUAGGGGGACCGCCGGUGUUAAACCGGAGGAAGGCGGGGACGACGUCAAGUCCUCAUGGCCCUUAUGCCCGGGGCUGCACACGUGCUACAAUGGGCCGGACAAAGCGCCGCCAACGCGCAAGCGGGAGCUAAUCGCAAAAACCGGUCCCCAGUUCGGAUUGCGGGCUGCAACCCGCCCGCAUGAAGCCGGAAUCGCUAGUAAUCGCCGAUCAGCACUGCGGCGGUGAAUGGGUUCCUGAGCCUUGUACACACCGCCCGUCAAGCCACCAAAGCGGGGGGCACCCGAAGUCGCCUGUGCCGCAAGGCAAGCGCCGAAGGUGAAACCCGUGAUGGGGACU